rnacentral:rRNA from 1 species
ACGCUGGCGGCGUGCUUAACACAUGCAAGUCGAACGAAAAGAGGGAAAGAGCUUGCUCUUUCCGGAAUUGAGUGGCAAACGGGUGAGUAACACGUAAACAACCUGCCUUCAGGAUGGGGACAACAGACGGGAACGACUGCUAAUACCGAAUAAGUUCCAAGAGCCGCAUGGCUCAUGGAAGAAAAGGUGGCCUCUACCUGUAAGCUAUCGCCUGAAGAGGGGUUUGCGUCUGAUUAGCUGGUUGGAGGGGUAACGGCCCACCAAGGCGACGAUCAGUAGCCGGUCUGAGAGGAUGAACGGCCACACUGGAACUGAGACACGGUCCAGACUCCUACGGGAGGCAGCAGUGGGGAAUCUUCCGCAAUGGGCGAAAGCCUGACGGAGCAACGCCGCGUGAGUGAUGACGGCCUUCGGGUUGUAAAACUCUGUGAUCCGGGACGAAAAGGCAGGGUGCGAAGAACAAACUGCAUUGACGGUACCGGAAAAGCAAGCCACGGCUAACUACGUGCCAGCAGCCGCGGUAAUACGUAGGUGGCAAGCGUUGUCCGGAAUUAUUGGGCGUAAAGCGCGCGCAGGCGGCUUCCCAAGUCCCUCUUAAAAGUGCGGGGCUUAACCCCGUGAUGGGAAGGAAACUGGGAAGCUGGAGUAUCGGAGAGGAAAGUGGAAUUCCUAGUGUAGCGGUGAAAUGCGUAGAGAUUAGGAAGAACACCGGUGGCGAAGGCGACUUUCUGGACGAAAACUGACGCUGAGGCGCGAAAGCGUGGGGAGCAAACAGGAUUAGAUACCCUGGUAGUCCACGCCGUAAACGAUGGAUACUAGGUGUAGGAGGUAUCGACCCCUCCUGUGCCGGAGUUAACGCAAUAAGUAUCCCGCCUGGGAAGUACGAUCGCAAGAUUAAAACUCAAAGGAAUUGACGGGGG